AUGAACGCUGGCGGCGUGCUUAACACAUGCAAGUCGAGCGAAGCAGUUAAGAAGAUUCUUCGGAUGAUUCUUAAUUGACUGAGCGGCGGACGGGUGAGUAACGCGUGGGUGACCUGCCCCAUACCGGGGGAUAACAGCUGGAAACGGCUGCUAAUACCGCAUAAGCGCACAGAGCUGCAUGGCUCGGUGUGAAAAACUCCGGUGGUAUGGGAUGGACCCGCGUCUGAUUAGGCAGUUGGCGGGGUAACGGCCCACCAAACCGACGAUCAGUAGCCGGCCUGAGAGGGCGACCGGCCACAUUGGGACUGAGACACGGCCCAAACUCCUACGGGAGGCAGCAGUGGGGAAUAUUGCACAAUGGGGGAAACCCUGAUGCAGCGACGCCGCGUGAGCGAAGAAGUAUUUCGGUAUGUAAAGCUCUAUCAGCAGGGAAGAUAAUGACGGUACCUGACUAAGAAGCCCCGGCUAACUACGUGCCAGCAGCCGCGGUAAUACGUAGGGGGCAAGCGUUAUCCGGAUUUACUGGGUGUAAAGGGAGCGUAGACGGCAAGGCAAGUCUGAUGUGAAAACCCAGGGCUUAACCCUGGGACUGCAUUGGAAACUGUCUGGCUUGAGUGCCGGAGAGGUAAGCGGAAUUCCUAGUGUAGCGGUGAAAUGCGUAGAUAUUAGGAAGAACACCAGUGGCGAAGGCGACUUUCUGGACCGUAACUGACGUUGAGGCACGAAAGUGUGGGGAGCAAACAGGAUUAGAUACCCUGGUAGUCCACACCGUAAACGAUGGAUACUAGGUGUAGGGAACGAUAUGUUUUCUGUGCCGAAAGCAAACGCAAUAAGUAUCCCACCUGGGGAGUACGGCCGCAAGGUUGAAACUCAAAGGAAUUGACGGGGGCCCGCACAAGCAGUGGAGUAUGUGGUUUAAUUCGAAGCAACGCGAAGAACCUUACCAGGGCUUGACAUAUACAGGAAUACUUAAGAAAUUAGGUAGUCUUUCGAGACUUGUAUACAGGUGGUGCAUGGUUGUCGUCAGCUCGUGUCGUGAGAUGUUGGGUUAAGUCCCGCAACGAGCGCAACCCUUAUCCUCAGUAGCCAGCAGGUCAAGCUGGGCACUCUGUGGAGACUGCCAGGGAUAACCUGGAGGAAGGUGGGGAUGACGUCAAAUCAUCAUGCCCCUUAUGAUCUGGGCUACACACGUGCUACAAUGGCGUAAACAAAGGGAGGCAAAGCCGCGAGGUGGAGCAAAUCCCAAAAAUAACGUCUCAGUUCGGACUGCAGUCUGCAACUCGACUGCACGAAGCUGGAAUCGCUAGUAAUCGCGAAUCAGAAUGUCGCGGUGAAUACGUUCCCGGGCCUUGUACACACCGCCCGUCACACCAUGAGAGUUGGAGAUACCCGAAGCCUGUGAGCCAACAGUUAAAUGAGGCAGCAGUCGAAGGUAGAAUCAAUGAUUGGGGUG
rnacentral:rRNA from 1 species